GAUGAACGCUGGCGGCGUGCCUAAUACAUGCAAGUCGAGCGAACAGACGAGGCGCUUGCUCCUCUGACGUUAGCGGCGGACGGGUGAGUAACACGUGGAUAACCUACCUAUAAGACUGGGAUAACUUCGGGAAACCGGAGCUAAUACCGGAUAAUAUAUUGAACCGCAUGGUUCAAUAGUGAAAGACGGUUUUGCUGUCACUUAUAGAUGGAUCCGCGCCGCAUUAGCUAGUUGGUAAGGUAACGGCUUACCAAGGCAACUAUGCGUAGCCGACCGGAGAGGGUGAUCGGCCACACUAGAACGGAGACGCGGUCCAGACUCCUACGGGACGCAGCAGUAGGGAAUCUUCCGCAAUGGGCGAAAGCCUGACGGAGCAACGCCGCGUGAGUGAUGAAGGUCUUCGGAUCGUAAAACUCUGUUAUGAGGGAAGAACAAAUGUGUAAGUAACUAUGCACGUCUUGACGGUACCUAAUCAGAAAGCCCCGGCUAACUACGUG
rnacentral:rRNA from 1 species